UUCUAGGUGGCUCAGUUGGUUAGAGCGUUGGUCUCAUACUCAGUAUGAUUAAGCUGAUCACAGUUUGGCCAUCCAAAGGGUAUGCAUCACCAGUUCUUACCACAAAACAAACCACUAAUCAUCAUUGCAGUCGAGAGUUCGAGUCUCUCCGAGGACA